CCGAAACGUCAUUAUGUGAUGCAGGACAGUUCUUACGUUGCUUCCCCUGAAGGCACAGCAACAAGGCCAGAAGAAGCAAGCUGGGAGGCAGAGGUGGAUGUGUUGGGGCUGAGACCGGCUCCAGGCUAACCCAGGCAGAGUCUGAUUCAGCGAUCGCUGGCGACUCCUCAGGACUGUUGCCCCAGCUCAUCCAUCUUUCUGCCACACGGAAGCCACCCGGUCCCUGCGUGGGUGGGGGCUCUCUGCAGCCCCCCGCCGAGGGAAGGUUGCAUCUGUUGCUUGGCCUUUUCUGCAGGCUGCCAACUCAGCAAGGAGCACGUCUCUCCAUGGAGAGGGAAAAUGUCACCAACUUGGCUUCCACGUCGAGCGUGUCGAGCGUGUGGAGGUCACUGGCCUGAUCGGGUGGCCGAGCUCAGUGCCCCUGGGGUGGGGGAGCAAACUCACGGGGGACGGAAGCUAUGAUACAUUCCUGCGGGGGACGGAUUUGCUACCAUCCAAUGCUCAGUCCACAGCAGCGCCCGACCAGGACUGGGAUCCUCUCUCUGCUUUUGUACUCGGGAGCCCUAGAAAUGGGAGCAUCGUCGUGUCUCUCAGCCCUGGAGUCGUCUAGAGCCCUCGGUCCCCCUGAGCCUGCACCUCACGCCAUCCUGCGCUAUCACCAGAUCCUGUUCCUGAGACGUGACUCUCGGCUCCUUCAGAGGCCGCACGGCACGGCGCACAGGUUUGGGGAUGGCAGACCUGGGUGGGCUCCCGGGCAAGUCACCCAAAGCCUCUCUAAACCUCAGACGUUCUCAGCUGUAAAGUGGGAUAAUACUUACACCCUUGGGUUGUUUUGAGGAUCAACUGAGACACAGGAAAAGCAACCAGCACGUAAUAGCGACUCGAUAAAUGCCAGCUGCGGUUAGUGCAGCCCCUCGUACCGUGUUCUGCAGCCCGGCGUGGUUUUCCUCUAGUCCCACACGAUCUAAUACGGUAGCCACCAGCUGCAGGUGGCUAUUUAAGUGCAAACUGAUUGUGAUGGAAUAAAAUGAAAAACAGCUCUGAGGUCACACUGACCCCAUUUCAGGUACUCCGUGGCCUCACGUGGCCGGUGGCUACCGCAAGGGACAGCAGAGAAAUACAUUUUCAUCCUCACCGUGAGGUUCUGCAGGACGGCGCUCGGCCAGAGGACCCUGCCCUCAGUCUCCCCACUCAACCUGCCAACAGCCUGCUCCCCUGCUCCCCUACAGCUUCCAAUCAACCCGACUGAUGCACUCAUGUGCCUGCCCCUCAGCGCGGCUCUAUCUCCACCCCCAUCCCGUCUAGCGCUCACCUCCCCUGCGAUUCACUAAUCCACGUUACCAUCACCCGCUGAGCACCCGUGAGGGGCACAGGCCUGGCGUGACAGGACACGGAUGAACAGGGUGGGGCCCAGGCCCCACUGUGCACCCCGGGAUGCCCUCAACACUUGCUCCGAUGUCCCCCCGCCACUGCUGGGGGGGUGCUCGGCUGCCCUGUGGGGGGGUUUGAGGGACAAAUGUGCACGUGUCUCACUGAUGAAACAGUGCCGUGGGGGCAGGGAGAGAAGCCAGGAGAGUGUCCACGGAACUGAGUCCUGUCCUCUACUCACAGACCACGAGGACGCGGAGCCAACGGAUCUGGGGACAGGAGCAGCGUGGACCAGUCGCCCUCCAGAGGUUGGGUGAAGGGCUGUCCCUGCUGGGCCCACGAACCUCUGCCUUCCCCUUAGGGUCUGGUGCUUCCUGCUCCCCAGAUCGCGCCUCGGGCAGCCUGUUUUCCCGCUACCAACCAACGCUGGCGGCACCUGGGGUCAGUUCUCCACCUCAGCCAUCCCCCUGCUGCUUCAGUGUCUCUGGCUGGCAGGGGGCAGGGGGCGUUCCUAAGAGGCGAGGGCUACGGAAAGACGACACGCUCCCACUCAAAUAACACAUAAUUGCUGCUUUCGUAAAUCUCAGAUCAAUAAGGCAGUCAUGGGCCUCUUCCAAUGGGCUCGGUCUUUGUUCCCAGGUUCCAAUAAAGAAAACGAAACAGGUGGUAUUUUUGAAAACCCAUGCGACAGCGAGCAAGCCAGCCUCUACAUCACCUUGGUGCAAACACAGCCCUUCACGAUCUGUGUCUAGGACAGUCCCGGGGCCCAGGGGUGGCCACUCACUUCCCUGCCUGAGAUGGGCUUCCUCGGAGUGGAUUUGCCCAGGGCAAGCGAGUCCUGGCUUCCCGGGCUUGGCUGCCUCAUGCACCCUGCAGCCUGGAACUGCGUCCGGGUGUUAAACGAUGAAGCUUCUGGGCCUAACCCAGGGCAGAAGCCACACAACUCCAGGCUUUCAGACCUCGCACCCUCUCUCUCCACCGUCAGACCUCGCACCCUCUCUCUCCACCGUCAGACCUCGCACCCUCUCUCCACCGUCAGACCUCACACCCUCUCUCCACCGUCAGACCUCACACCCUCUCUCCACCGUCAGACCUCACUCCCUCUCUCUCCACCGUCAGACCUCACUCCCUCUCUC
rnacentral:lncRNA from 1 species